CCCAAUUCCAAAAUCGCUCAAAAUUAAAAAGGCUCCUGCGAGCGGACAGAAGCUAGGGCGACGGCGAAAUUUAGGCUUUUUCCUUUCUUCUUCCUCUUCAAACACUGAACUGAAGCACAUCCCCUCUUGGCUCUUGAUUCAGGUACAAUUCGUCCUUAUAGCUUCAAUUCCUUUCAAAAUUAGUCUUUAAAUCUUGGAAUGCAGUUGGAUAUUAGGUAAUAGGUAAAAUUUUAUGCCAGGAAAUAUCAAGGAUGGGAGCACUGGAGAUGUUGCUGAUGAUCACUACCACCGAUACAUGUGAAUUGUGAAUCUGAGGAUCAUGGUUUGGACUUUGAAGAAACUGUAGCCACUAUUUUGCUCAAAUGGAAGAGGUUUUGAUGUAGGGGAUAUAAAGACUUAAAUAGGAGAAUGCGGUCAAGAUGGCUUCGAUAUAUGAAUCUUUUGGAACAGACUUGUACUUUUGAAUUGAUCAUAUUUUGAUGGUUGUGAAUUGAUCAUAUUUUGAUGGGUUGAAGUUAUCUUGUAACUACUUAUUUUUGAAUGAUGGGCUUAAAACAUAUGAAUGUUUUAUUAUUUUUUAUUUUGAUGA